rnacentral:rRNA from 1 species
GCGGCGUGCUUAACACAUGCAAGUCGAGCGCGAAAGGGACUUCGGUCCUGAGUAAAGCGGCAGACGGGUGAGUAACACGUGGAUAACCUGUCCCUUGGUGGGGGAUAACUACUCGAAAGGGUGGCUAAUACCGCAUAAGACCGUGAAUUUUCGGAUUUACGGCGAAAGAUUUAUUGCCGAGGGAGGGGUCCGCGUCCGAUUAGCUAGUAGGUGAGGUAAUGGCUCACCUAGGCGACGAUCGGUAGCUGGUCUGAGAGGAUGAUCAGCCACACUGGUACUUAGACACGGACCAGACUCCUACGGGAGGCAGCAGUGGGGAAUAUUGCGCAAUGGACGAAAGUCUGACGCAGCAACGCCGCGUGGGUGAAGAAGGCCUUAGGGUCGUAAAAUUCUUUCACCGGGGAAGUUAAUGACGGUACCCGGAGAAGAAGCCCCGGCUAACUUCGUGCCAGCCGCCGCCGUAAGAC